AAUAAACUGAAUCACUGGGCAACAACCAGGAUUAUUAAACUUCACGCCAAAGGUGUUUGCUUUGUUACCGUUAGAUGAGUCCAGCGCUCUUAGCCUAGCCUAGCACAAAUGCAGGAAACAGCUAGCCUAGCUCUGGCUACGAUUCUUUCCAACAACUCCUAGCUGUCUUACUUACACGUUAUGUCUUGUGUAUAUAACAUAUGUAGAAACAGAAAACGUGGCAGGUUGGUUUUCAAUUGUUUACCGAUCAACAACCGCUGGGCGUGACUGCGAGCAGCAUCUCUGAAGUCCUCACUUUGAAGUUAACAGCACCUCGAGGCCAGGCCCGUCUAGCAGUAAUAUUCAUCUGUGCACCAUAUGUGAUGGUAUCAAAAGCCCCCAGGUCCCAGUGCUUGACAUUACAUCAGAACAUGGCAGUGAAGGAUGAAAGCCUCCUAGCUUGGACUUGUAGGGCUCCCUCCAGGACCAAGCAGGAAACCACAGGAAUGAUGUGCUGAGGCUUGACCGAAGUGGUGGACCGACCGACCAACAUUGCCACGCCGCUAGCGUGGCUAAAAAGUGAGCAAUUCUGAAAUAUGAUGCAUAUUAUUGCACCCUGAUGGACACCCAUAUGUAAGCAUUUGUUAGCAUUUCAUUUAGAUUUACAGGCUGAAGUGCAUGUUGUAGUUGAGUGUGUGAGUGUAACAACCGGCCCGGUGUUACUUUGUGAAUUAUGUUGAGUCUUCAUUUACAAUUCUGGUAGCUGUUCAAAUCAGGCAGCACUUUUCAUGGCAGAAACAACUGCAGGUACUAAUUAUGUUCUAUUUCUAUAUCAAAAGCUGUCAAAACAUUAGCUACUGACUUUUGCAUGGGUGCCAGUAAAUGUAAAAGUUAUAAUCCCAUGUUGACAUCUGACAUAAUGCGUCCUCCCAUUAUUCAUCUUCAGUGACAGUAAGGGCUCAGACCAUGCCCACUGAAGCCCUAUGCUGUUAUUAAAACCAAGAACUGUAAUUUUUUGCUCCGUUCUUUGCACCUGCACAUGCAGUUAUGUUACAUGGACACCUGGAUAGUUUUGAAACCAGGUGAGCUUGCUGAUCGGCAACAGAUUCCCCCGUUUUUACUGUGCUGCGAGGCAACUGGAAUUUUAACAAAGGCUGCAUUGCCCUCUGCAAUUCUGCAUUUAACUGCAUCUGUUAAAAUGCCACAUAAAGACAAAACUGUCACUCCUUUGGCACCCGAGUGUCCUGACAUUGUCUGCCUCUCAGGUAUGAAAAAUAUUAUAUCAUACUUUUUGUCUCUUUCAUGAAAGAAGGAGAAUGUAUACAUUCAUUUCUAGUCAUUCAACUGUCCCUAAAACACGAUUUAGUUUAAAUAAGCCUUGUCUGAGUCUCAUGUUGCAUUGGAAAAGCACUAAAGCUUCCAUGUUCUCUUAUCCUACCCUUUGAUUGAUCUUCAACACCACAAUGACUUGAAAUAAACUGCAGCAAAACCCCUUCUGAUGAGUAAGUCAUAGAUGAGUGCAGUGAGUGAAUAUCACAGUGACUGAGUUUCAGGCUUUUUGCAUUGGACUGAGACUUGAGCUCAAUAAACUCAUCCUAAAAUAAACGCUAAAUUAGAGGGCUAUAGUAUAGAGGGAAAAAAAGACCAUGGGCUUGGUUCUUGGCCCCACACACAGUUGCUGUGGAGUUUUCUUUCCUGUCUCCUAUUAUUCCUGGUCUUCUGCCUGGAUGAGUCAAGAGAGGGAGAGAGCUAAAGAGAAGGAUGGAGAGAGAGAGAAGGAAAAAGAGAGAGUGGGAGGCGGAUGUAAGACAGAGAUAGACAGACAAAGAGGCAAGAGAAAGACAGAGAAGAUGGCAGGGAGAGGUGGCGGGAAAGGGACAUACUGGCUGUACUGCCUCUCUCCUCCAUCUGAUCUGGCCAGUGUUUAAACAAGGGUUUGAAUGACAGAGUAAAUGUAGAAAACUUGGGAGGUGUUCAAGUGUAGCCAUUUUGUGAGAGUUUCAAUCCACAGUAACAUUUACAUUUUUUGUAUAAAAGCUCAGCUCCCUGGGUAACAAAUGAUUGUCAAGAAGCAGUUCCCUGGACACCAAAUUCCAAUCCCUAUAAAGAAUUUUACUCAUGCAAAUCAAGUGACAAAACCCUGAUAUCUGAAAUAGGAAACAUACUGUUCAUUCUGACUUGUGGCCCGGUCACAUCAGCAUUUCUAACAAAAUGAAUUCAUUCCAAAAUAUAAUCGCCGCAAUCAGUGAAUUCACUCAUGGAUGCGAAGUAUUUUCACAUUGAGUUUGACUUUGAUGAAGUUCGACACACAAAUUAUUGACAGUGCUAACCUGUGAGGGAACGGAGAGCUGGAGGGUCCAAAAUUAUUAUUAAUAAUUUGCCUCACCUGUUGGAGUAUAAACUGCUCCACAAAAGAGAAAUGGUUUCAGUCAGUGGUACCAAUAUGUCUGUUGAAUAAACCGAAUUAGUGACCAAGCUAGUGAAGCUUGCUAACUGACAGCUAGCUCAAGAGCUUUUAUCCUCCUCCACUCUUUUGGAGGUGGAGUAAACGGUCCAGUACAGAGAAAAUAAAACGAAGAUCAGAGAGCUAUUGUGACUGACUAGUGCUAGCAUGUUCCCGGCUGGUUAACGUGUUAGUGGUUAGCUAACUAUAGCACUUCACCAACUAGUCACUACAGUACGUCACCAAUUUUCUCUAUUGAUCAAGAGCAGCAGCGCCCCAAACUCCUCAAUGAUCCUAGCUGAGGGGGGCUGCCUAAAGAAAGAUCAUAGAAAGAGCCAAGUUGGAAACAAUGACUUGUCCCAUCUCAUAGUUGUUGUUUAUAAUAGUUGGGAUCUUGAUUGAUCCACAGAUAUUGGAAGCCAACUGAAAGGCUGGAAAUAUGGCAAAAAUAAACAGAAUAUAAAUAGUUAAAUAGAAUAACCAGUUUUCUAGUUCCUCACAUAAACACCCAGAUGUUCCAUCUCAGACUAGAUAUGUUCAAACACAGGUGCAGAAAUCCUCCCAAAACCUUUCCAAACACUACACUCCUUUUCUCCACUACACUGCCUAAUUUCUUUUCCAGUCACAUCCUAGAAAUAUGUGUUUAAUGGCUGAGCCAUGAAUGUGUCUAAGAGUGAUAAAACCAGAUGGUUUUGGAUGCUGGUGCUGCAACCUGAGCGAACAUUGUCCCUGCAGCAGCCAACUGUGUGAUCGAUAUUCAGACUAAAACAAGCGUCUCACUGGAAAUCUUCCUCAGUGAAGAAGGAUGUGCAAUAUUCAGUGUGCGAAAAAUGUUCUUUUUAUCUGCGUCUUUUGAACAUGUCACAUCUGUUAUCUUUUAUCAUAAAAAUGUAUUUGGGAACCUCUGCCAUCGUAACGCUACAUCAAAGACCAGCUUCUGUUUGUUUGAAGGAAAAAAGACGCUUUUACGCAAGUGUUUAUUAGAGUAAGCUGAGAUUAAUAUGCAAGGGCCCUCACAGUAGCAAGCCCACGUUUGAAAGAGGAUCUUUUGCUGCGCUCAUUAUUUACUAACUGAGAAGAUCAAGGGCUCUUUAUUCGAGGUGUUUCAGCACCCCUAGGUGUUUUACAAUAGCUCUAGGUGCUUCUGUUGUUUAAUUGGGAUCCAGAAACCAGUUUGGGGCCCUUGCAAAUGUACAGUAGGGGGAUGGGAGUCUUAAAGGCACCCAGUGAGGGCUCAAUAGGACUGCAUUGUAUGUUUUAUGGUAGUGGAAAAUUAAUAUGGAAAAGUGUGACCCCUUUCAUCGUUGUUGUUGCACAACUAUUCUUAUACUGUGUCUAUGAUGCUUUAUUCUUAAACAUGCCAUCUUCUCUGCAACAAAACACAAAUAUGGGUAUGUUUAAUGUGAUGCAUACAAUGAUACAUUUUUGGAAUAACAUACAAAAUUGCUCUUUGUUUAGAACAUAAGCUCAUAUUAAACCAAUGUGGAAUUAUGUAGUAAUUUCUGAUUCAGAUUAUUCAAAAGUCAAAUUUAUGCUUGAAUGCAUCUCAAGAGAAAUAAUGUCACAGGGCAUAACUGGCAUUGUGUGUAAUUUUGUAAUGCCACAGGCAACAUCAAACCUUAAACCCACAAUUUGGCAAAGUUGUUAGCAAACGGUAGCUUAUUUACACAUCCAGCCAGUACUGAUCAACAUCAGCAUUUCAGCUUUUCUUUUUUUCCCACCUGACGAA